GACGAACGCUGGCGGCGUGCCUAAUACAUGCAAGUCGAGCGCAGGAAACUGACGGAACUCUUCGGAGGGAAGGCAGUGGAAUGAGCGGCGGACGGGUGAGUAACACGUAAGGAACCUGCCUCAAGGAUUGGGAUAACUCCGAGAAAUCGGAGCUAAUACCGGAUAGUUCAACGGACCGCAUGGUCCGCUGAUGAAAGGCGCUCCGGCGUCACCUUGAGAUGGCCUUGCGGUGCAUUAGCUAGUUGGUGGGGUAAUGGCCCACCAAGGCGACGAUGCAUAGCCGACCUGAGAGGGUGAUCGGCCACACUGGGACUGAGACACGGCCCAGACUCCUACGGGAGGCAGCAGUAGGGAAUCUUCCACAAUGGACGAAAGUCUGAUGGAGCAACGCCGCGUGAGUGAUGAAGGUUUUCGGAUCGUAAAACUCUGUUGUAAGGGAAGAACACGUACGAGAGGAAAUGCUCGUACCUUGGCGGUACCUUACGAGAAAGCCACGGCUAACUACGUGACAGCAGCCGCCGUAA
rnacentral:rRNA from 1 species